rnacentral:rRNA from 1 species
UGCCGCUUGCGAGGGCGUAUGGUGGAUGCCUUGGCAGACAGUACCGAUGAAGGACGUUUGAGGAUGCGAUAAUCCUAGGGGAGCCUCCAACAUGGCUUUGAUCCUAGGGUCUCCGAAUGGGGGAACCCGCCGGCCGUCAUGGGCCGGCACCGCCUAUGGGCGGGGGGUACGCAGGGAAGUGAAACAUCUCAGUACCUGCAGGAAGGGAUACUCCGUGAGUAGUGGCGAGCGAAAGCGGAUCAGACCAAACCGGUUGCGCGUGAUACCCGUCGGGGGUUGCGUUGCCGGUGUUGUGGGAUCACGUGUCCCGGUUCCGACGGGCCGGGCGGGAGUCAUAAAACGGCUUGCCAGGGGAACAGGCUUGAAGGCCUGGCCGUAGAGGGUGCCAGCCCCGUACCUGGACGUGAGCCGUCUUCCGAUCGUGUUGUCCCAAGUAGCGCGGGCCUCGUGGAAUCCCGCGUGAAUCAGCCCAGACCGUUGGGUAAGUCUAAGCAUACCUGUCUGACCGAUAGCGUACCAGUACCGUGAGGGAAAGGUGAAAAGCACCCCGGGAGGGGAGUGAAACAGUUCCUGAAACCGUGCGCCCACAAACCGUCGGAGCCUCCUUGUGGGGUGACGGCGUGCCUAUCGAAAAAUGAGUCUGCGAGUCAGUGGCGGGUGGCGAGCAUAAGCCGUGUGGCGUAUGCGUAGCGAAAGCGAGUCUUAAAAGGCGUUUUUAGUCGCUUGUCCUGGACCCGAAGCGGGAUGAUCUAGCCCUGGGCAGGUUGAAGCGCGGGUAAGACCGCGUGGAGGACCGAACCCACCUGGGUUGAAAACCGGGGGGAUGACCUGGGGCUAGGGGUGAAAGGCCAAUCAAAUUCCGUGAUAGCUGGUUCUCUCCGAAAUGCAUUUAGGUGCAGCGUCGGUCGAUUGCGUCGCGGGGGUAGAGCUACCGGAUGCUUGCGGGCCCUUGUUGGGUACCAACAGCAGCCGAACUCCGAAUACCGUUGACGUGUAUUCCGGCAGUGAGUCGGCGGGGGAUAAGCUCCGUCGUCGAGAGGGAGACAGCCCAGACCGUCGUCUAAGGUCCCGAAGCGUGUGCUAAGUGGGAAAGGAUGUGGAGUCGCAUAGACAGCCAGGAGGUUGGCUCAGAAGCAGCCAUCCUUUAAAGAGUGCGUAACAGCUCACUGGUCUAGUGGUUCCGCGCCGACAAUGUAGCGGGGCUCAAGCACACCACCGAAGACGCGGCAGCAAUCUUCAUGGUUGCUGGGUAGGAGAGCGUCCUGCGAGGGGCGAAGCGGCCGGGUAACCGUGCCGUGGACUUCGUGGGAGUGAGAAUGCAGACAUGAGUAGCGAGAGACGGGUGAGGAUCCCGUCCGCUGGAUGACCAAGGGUUCCGGGGCCACGUUCGUCGUCCCCGGGUGAGUCGGGUCCUAAGGCGAGGCCGACAGGCGUAGUCGAAUGGAUGAACGGGUGGAUAUUCCCGUACCGACCAUGGACCGGCAAAACCGAGACGGUGAGUACUAACCUCCGCCUCGUGGUGGUUCCUUCCUUCGGGUUGGUGUCGCCGCGUGGUGUUGGGACCGUAGCCGUAGUAGGUCAGCGCAGGGGUGACACGGAAUGGGAGCCGGCCGCGGAGGUGGUUUUCCGUGGUCAAGCACGCAGCCAGUCAUGUAGGCAAAUCCGCAUGGCGCGCAUGGCGAGGUGUGAUGAUGGGAGCCGUUAUGGCUCGAUAUCCGGUUGUCCAGGCCGUCGAGAAAAGCCUCGGCGUGAGGGCCAUGGCCGCCCGUACCCCAAACCGACACUGGUGGUCAGGUAGAGAAUACCAAGGCGAUCGAGCGAAUCCUGGUCAAGGAACUCGGCAAAUCACUCCCGUGCCUUCGGUAUAAGGGAGACCCACUGGGGUGAACCGGCUAGCCCGGGGAGCUUUGGUGGGUGGCACAGACCAGGGGGUAGCGACUGUUUACCAAAAACACAGGUGCAUGCGAAGGCGAAAGCCGCUGUAUAUGCACUGACGCCUGCCCGGUGCCGGAAGGUUAAGAGGAUCCGUCAAUCCUUCGGGAUGAAGCGGUGAAUUCAAGCCCCGGUAAACGGCGGUGGUAACUAUAACCAUCCUAAGGUAGCGAAAUUCCUUGUCGGGUAAGUUCCGACCUGCACGAAUGGCGUAACGACUUCCCCACUGUCUCGACCAGGAGCUCGGCGAAAUUGCAGUACGAGUAAAGAUGCUCGUUAAGCGCAGAAGGACGAAAAGACCCCGGGACCUUUACUAUACCUUGGUAUUGGCAUUCGGUGUGGAUUGUUCAGGGACAGUGCCUGGCGGGUAGUUCAACUGGGGCGGUUGCCUCCCAAAGAGUAACGGAGGCGCUCAAAGGUCCGCUCAGCCCGGUUGGCAAUCGGGUGUCGAGUGUAAUCGCACAAGCGGGCUUGACUGCGAGGACGACGGUCCGAGCAGGGACGAAAGUCGGAGAUAGUGAUCCGGUGCCGGCGCACGGGCGCGGCAUCGCUCAACGGAUAAAAGGUACCCCGGGGAUAACAGGCUGAUCAUUCCCAAGAGUCCAUAUCGACGGGAUGGUUUGGCACCUCGAUGUCGGCUCGUCGCAUCCUGGGG